rnacentral:rRNA from 1 species
GGGCAGUUUGACUGGGGCGGUCGCCUCCCAAAAGGUAACGGAGGCGCUCAAAGGUUCCCUCAGAAUGGUUGGAAAUCAUUCAUAGAGUGUAAAGGUAUAAGGGAGCUUGACUGCGAGACCUACAAGUCGAGCAGGGUCGAAAGACGGACUUAGUGAUCCGGUGGUUCCGCAUGGAAGGGCCAUCGCUCAACGGAUAAAAGCUACCCCGGGGAUAACAGGCUUAUCUCCCCCAAGAGUUCACAUCGACGGGGAGGUUUGGCACCUCGAUGUCGGCUCAUCGCAUCCUGGGGCUGUAGUCGGUCCCAAGGGUUGGGCUGUUCGCCCAUUAAAGCGGUACGCGAGCUGGGUUCAGAACGUCGUGAGACAGUUCGGUCCCUAUCCGUCGUGGGCGUAGGAAAUUUGAGAGGAGCUGUCCUUAGUACGAGAGGACCGGGAUGGACAUACCUCUGGUGUACCAGUUGUCGUGCCAACGGCAUCGCUGGGUAGCUAUGUAUGGACGGGAUAAGUGCUGAAAGCAUCUAAGCAUGAAGCCCCCCUCAAGAUGAGAUUUCCCAACUUCGGUUAUAAGAUCCCUCAAAGAUGAUGAGGUGAAUAGGUUCGAGGUGGAAGCGUGGCGACACGUGGAGCUGACGAAUACUAAUCGAUCGAAGACUUAAUCAAUUU